rnacentral:snoRNA from 1 species
UUUGGAGGAUGAUACAACCAUCUUAUGCAUAGUUCACACUGAAUACUCGUGUUGAUAAACAUUCAUCUUGUCUUUCGCUCCUAUCUGAUCUUUCCUU